rnacentral:tRNA from 1 species
UCCUCGAUAGCUCAAUUGGUAGAGCACUCGGCUGUUAACCGAGUGGUUGUAGGUUCGAGUCCUACUCGAGGAGCCA